rnacentral:rRNA from 1 species
ACUCAAAUGAAUUGACGGGGACCCGCACAAGCGGUGGAGCAUGUGGUUUAAUUCGACGCAACGCGAAGAACCUUACCUACUCUAGAAUGCUCCUGACAACUCCAGAGAUGGAGCCUCUUAGGGAAACCUAAGCAGGAUGCAAGGUGCUGCAUGGCUGUCGUCAGCUCGUGUCGUGAGAUGUUGGGUUAAGUCCCGCAACGAGCGCAACCCUUAUCAUCAGUUACUAACAGGUUAUGCUGAGAACUCUGGUGAGACUGCCGUUGAUAAAACGGAGGAAGGUGGGGAUGAUGUCAAGUCCUCAUGGCCUUUAUGAGUAGGGCUACACACGUGCUACAAUGGCGAGUACAAACCGUCGCAAACCAGUGAUGGGGAGCCAAUCGGAAAAAGCUCGUCUCAGUUCGGAUUGAAGUCUGCAACUCGACUUCAUGAAGUUGGAAUCGCUAGUAAUCGCAGAUCAGCACGCUGCGGUGAAUACGUUCCCGGGUCUUGUACACACCGCCCGU